ACCUACGGGGGGGCAGCAGUGAGGAAUAUUGGCCAAUGGUCGGGAGACUGAACCAGCCAAGCCGCGUGAGGGAUGAAGGUACAGAGUAUCGUAAACCUCUUUUGUCAGGGAACAAAGGCGGGGACGUGUCCCCGGAUGAGUGUACCUGAAGAAAAAGCAUCGGCUAACUCCGUGCCAGCAGCCGCGGUAAUACGGAGGAUGCGAGCGUUAUCCGGAUUUAUUGGGUUUAAAGGGUGCGCAGGCGGUCUGUUAAGUCAGCGGUCAAAGCCCGGGGCUCAACCCCGGCCCGCCGUUGAAACUGGCAG
rnacentral:rRNA from 1 species